UACGUAGGGUGCGAGCGUUAAUCGGAAUUACUGGGCAUAAAGCGUGCGCAGGCGGUUCGUUGUGUCGGUGGUGAAAUCCCCGGGCUUAACCUGGGAAUGGCCAUGGAAACUGGCGAACUGGAGUGUGGCAGAGGGGGGUGGAAUUCCGCGUGUAGCAGUGAAAUGCGUAGAGAUGCGGAGGAACACCGAUGGCGAAGGCAGCCCCCUGGGCUAGCACUGACGCUCAGGCACGAAAGCGUGGGGAGCAAACAGG
rnacentral:rRNA from 1 species